rnacentral:rRNA from 1 species
AGUAAGCGGAGGACAAGAAACUAAACAGGAUCCCCAUAGUAAUGGCGAAUGAACAGGGAUGAGCUCAGCAUGGAAAUUGGGGCCUGUGGCUUUGACUUGUAAUCUUGUGAGGCAUUGCCAACAGAGGCGCAGAUGUAAGUCUCUUGGAAAAGAGCAUCAAUGAGGGUGAGAGUCCUGCUUGUCAUUUGCAGCCCCCCUGUGCACGGUGUGCCUUCUAAGAGUCACGUUCCUCGGGAUUGGAGCGCAAAGUGGGUGGUAACUUUCAUCUGAAGCUAAACAAUGGUUUGGGACCGAUAGGAAACAAGUACCAUGAGGGAAAGGUGAAAAGGACUUUGGAAAGAGAGUUAAAAGUGCCUGAAAUUGCUGAAGGGGAAGCGAAUGGAACCAGUGGUGCUGGGUGAGAUUGUCACAUGCUCCAGGGAUUGGUUGCUGCAUCAGCGCAAGCGAUCUGGCAAUUGUUGAACUGCACGUGUGUGGUGUGUCUUGCCUUGUGUGUCAUUGUGGGUUUAUGCAUUAAGACAAUUCAAAGUGCAUGGCAAUAUGUUUCUGAAUCUAUGAAUGUGAUUUGUUAUGUUUAUGCAUAAGCUUCUUGCUGUCUGUCUGGCUGCAGAGCUCGCCGUCCCCAUUUUUUUGGAGAGAUGAGUUGAGCAUUUCCUUCUGCACAGAUCUUGGCUAAAUGGUUCUAUUCGACCCGUC